GGCAGGUCAGCAUACUGCCGUGAAUACGUUCCCGGGCCUUGUACACACCGCCCGUCACACCAUGAGAGUUGGAGAUACCCGAAGCCUGUGAGCUAACAAACGAGGCAGCAGUCGAAGGUAGAAUCAAUGAUUGGGGUGAAGUCGUAACAAGGUACC
rnacentral:rRNA from 1 species